rnacentral:rRNA from 1 species
CGUAGGGNGCAAGCGUUAAUCGGAAUUACUGGGCGUAAAGCGUGCGCAGGCGGUUAUACAAGACAGGCGUGAAAUCCCCGGGCUUAACCUGGGAAUGGCGCCUGUGACUGUAUAGCUAGAGUGUGUCAGAGGGGGGUAGAAUUCCACGUGUAGCAGUGAAAUGCGUAGAUAUGUGGAGGAA